UACGUAGGGUGCAAGCGUUGCUCGGAAUCAUUGGGCGUAAAGCGCGUGUAGGCGGUUUACUAAGUCUGGUGUGAAAUCCCGGAGCUUAACUCCGGAAGUGCACUGGAUACUGGUAAACUAGAGGGUAAGAGAGGGAAGUGGAAUUCCUGGUGUAGGGGUGAAAUCCGUAGAUAUCAGGAGGAACAUCGGUGGCGAAGGCGGCUUCCUGGCUUACUACUGACGCUAAGACGCGAAAGCGUGGGGAGCAAACAGGAUUAGAUACCCUGGUAGUCCACGCCCUAAACGAUGGAUACUAGUUAUCGGGAAUACUAUAAGUCUCGGUGACGUAGCUAACGCGUUAAGUAUCCCGCCUGGGGAUUACGGUCGCAAGAUUAAA
rnacentral:rRNA from 1 species